rnacentral:lncRNA from 1 species
UUUGGCUAGGGAAAGUAUAACUUUCUGUGUCACCUCCUCAUGGUUCUUCUUCAGGUAGGCGAGCUCUUCAGUCAGGCUCUCAAUCUGCAUCUCUAGGUCAGCCUUGGUCAAGGUCAGCUCGUCCAGCACCCUGCGCAGGCCAUUGAUGUCGGCCUCCACGCUCUGGCGCAGGGCCAGCUCAUUCUCAUACCUGAAACAAGCAUGAUCCAAAUACUGGCUAUAACUUAUACUGGAGGCGUACCCAGGUAGAGACUGUUUAAAAAAAAGAAGGCCGCCAUCUCCUCCAAAUCCACCACCGAAGCCUCCUCCAAAGCUGCCCCAACGAAGCUGCCUCCUCCGAAGCUGCCUCCUCCGAAGCUGCCUCCUCCAAAGCUGCCUCCUCCGAAGCCCCCACCUAAGCUGCUGCUUCCAUAGCCUCCACCAAAGCUGCCUCCACCAAAAACCUCCUCCUGAUCCUCCUCCAUAGCCUCCCGAUGAGCCACCAAAGCAGCCUCCACCAGAGCUGCCACGGCUAAAAGAGCCACCACUGAACCCCCCUGAGCUAAAUCCUCCACCAAAGGAGCCUCUGCUGCUUGAAAUUCUGAGAGAUGAUCCCCCUCCUCCUCCGCCUCCACUGCGGGAGGAAGAGUAUUGCUUGCGUGAGCUGUAUCGAACAGACAUGGUGAUGCUGUUUAGCCCAGAGAGUGCCUGCUACCAAGGACAGUGACAAGCCUUUAUAUACUGACAGGGUGUGUCCCGUGUGUGUUGGAGUUUGCUUGCUUGCAUGAUUUUCUUUUUGCCAGUUUAGCAUCUUUGGCUUAUGAUUGCAUAAGUUUUCUUCAGUAAUCACCAAUUCCAAUAGGUAUGGUUUUGAAUUUGCCCUAGGAACAAACAGGAGGUUUGCUAUGUUGAAAUUGAAAAUGGGUGUAGUUCAGGUGAGUGUAUGUUUCAUUAUGUUUUUUCGUCUUUUGAAGACCAUUGGGCAACUCUUAAAAUCCUGUCUUUUCUCAGCACUAUGUAGGUAGCACAGAACGUUCUCAAAAUUUGGAAAAAGAAUUUUAGCUACAAAAUUAUAGUUAAAAUAAGAUUUUUGUUUUAAAUGUAUAUUUUAAACAGUUUCAAUUAAUUAGAACAAGAGUUAGCAUGAAGCCUUCCAGAAUCAUGCUAUAAUAAGGAUCUUGUACAAAACUGUAAGCUGCCAAAAUGAAAAUACAAAACAUAUGCUAAACAAUUUAAUUAGUGUUUAAAAGUUGCCACACAUAAAAAUUUAAAGCCAUAAGGGCACAAUUUAGGAAGUAUAUGUGUGUAUGUUUAUAGGGAAUCUUUUAAUUUAUUUGGAGAAUGAAAGUAUAUUGAUAUUUUGCCUGGGAAAUUGGAAGUGAGUAAUUAUUUAGGAACCUUUAAUUUAAUGGUGCUAUUCUUUUUAAAAUAAAAAAAUCUAAACUCACGAAGUUCUCUUGGAG